rnacentral:rRNA from 1 species
GCGUUGUUCGGAAUUACUGGGCGUAAAGCGCGCGUAGGCGGCUUUGUAAGUUAGAGGUGAAAGCCCGGGGCUCAACUCCGGAAUUGCCUUUGAGACUGCAUCGCUAGAAUUGUGGAGAGGUGAGUGGAAUUCCGAGUGUAGAGGUGAAAAUCGUAGAUAUUAGGAAGAACACCAGUGGCGAAGGCGACUCACUGGACACAUAUUGACGCUGAGGUGCGAAAGCGUG